CCUACGGGCGGCAGCAGUGGGGAAUAUUGGACAAUGGGCGAAAGCCUGAUCCAGCCAUGCCGCGUGUGUGAAGAAGGCCUUCGGGUUGUAAAGCACUUUCAGUGGGGAAGAAAGCCUUGGGGCUAAUACCCUCGAGGAAGGACAUCACCCACAGAAGAAGCACCGGCUAACUCCGUGCCAGCAGCCGCGGUAAUACGGAGGGUGCGAGCGUUAAUCGGAAUUACUGGGCGUAAAGCGCGCGUAGGCGGUCUGAUAAGCCGGUUGUGAAAGCCCCGGGCUCAACCUGGGAACGGCAUCCGGAACUGUCAGGCUAGAGUGCAGGAGAGGAAGGUAGAAUUCCCGGUGUAGCGGUGAAAGGCGUAGAGAUCGGGAGGAAUACCAGUGGCGAAGGCGGCCUUCUGGACUGACACUGACGCUGAGGUGCGAAAGCGUGGGUAGCAAACAGGAUUAGAUACCCGAGUAGUC
rnacentral:rRNA from 1 species